GGAUUGUUUACUAAAGAGAGCUAGUCACUAAGUAUAGGUAGUCACUGAACAAAACUAGUGAGUAAUGGAACAGCUAGUUACUGAACACAACUAGUGACUAAGGGAACAGCUAGUUACUGAACAAAACUAGUGACUAAGGGAACAGCUAGUUACUGAACACAACUAGUGAGUAAGGGAAAAGCUUGUUACUGAACAAAACUAGU